rnacentral:rRNA from 1 species
AUUGAACGCUGGCGGCAGGCCUAACACAUGCAAGUCGAGCGGAUGAAGGGAGCUUGCUCCUGGAUUCAGCGGCGGACGGGUGAGUAAUGCCUAGGAAUCUGCCUGGUAGUGGGGGAUAACGUCCGGAAACGGGCGCUAAUACCGCAUACGUCCUGAGGGAGAAAGUGGGGGAUCUUCGGACCUCACGCUAUCAGAUGAGCCUAGGUCGGAUUAGCUAGUUGGUGGGGUAAAGGCCUACCAAGGCGACGAUCCGUAACUGGUCUGAGAGGAUGAUCAGUCACACUGGAACUGAGACACGGUCCAGACUCCUACGGGAGGCAGCAGUGGGGAAUAUUGGACAAUGGGCGAAAGCCUGAUCCAGCCAUGCCGCGUGUGUGAAGAAGGUCUUCGGAUUGUAAAGCACUUUAAGUUGGGAGGAAGGGCAGUAAGUUAAUACCUUGCUGUUUUGACGUUACCAACAGAAUAAGCACGGGCUAACUUCGUG